rnacentral:rRNA from 1 species
AUGAACGCUGGCGGCGUGCCUAAUACAUGCAAGUCGCGCGAACAGACGAGGAGCUUGCUCCUCUGACGUUAGCGGCGGACGGGUGAGUAACACGUGGAUAACCUACCUAUAAGACUGGGAUAACUUCGGGAAACCGGAGCUAAUACCGGAUAAUAUAUUGAACCGCAUGGUUCAAUAGUGAAAGACGGUUUUGCUGUCACUUAUAGAUGGAUCCGCGCCGCAUUAGCUAGUUGGUAAGGUAACGGCUUACCAAGGCAACGAUGCGUAGCCGACCUGAGAGGGUGAUCGGCCACACUGGAACUGAGACACGGUCCAGACUCCUACGGGAGGCAGCAGUAGGGAAUCUUCCGCAAUGGGCGAAAGCCUGACGGAGCAACGUCGCGUGAGUGAUGAAGGUCUUCGGAUCGUAAAACUCUGUUAUUAGGGAAGAACAAAUGUGUAAGUAACUAUGCACGUCUUGACGGUACCUAAUCAGAAAGCCACGGCUAACUACGUG